GGAUGCCCUCAUGCCUGGAGAGGGUCCUGUGGAGUACACGGACCAGACAGAAGCUGACCAAACAGAAAACGACAAUACAGAGAAAGACGCCCUUGACAACAUUGAAGACUAUGAGGAGGACAACGAGCCGGAACAGGAGGACGACAAACAGGCAGCUCUGGCCCUGAACUGACACUAACGUUCCUCUACUGGGUCCACUUCCAUAUAGUGCCCUCCUGUCCUCUCCUUUUUGCUUGUGACCUUGUGCUUUGCUGACGCCCUGCCUCAGUAGGAGAAAACUAUUUAAAUUCCCCAGUUGUCAGCCAAGGCAGAGCAACCUUAGCGGGGCGUUCCCCCCCCAUUCAACAUCCCGAUUGUAAAUGAGAAAAUGAACUUUUAAUGGUCAACAGUGAACACUGAUAUGUAUUACGGGGAUGUAUGGUGGGAUACUGCAGAACUCCAUUCAACGUUUUUGAAGCAACUGCGACGUCUGGUCUGUGAGAACAUUUCUGCCUCAAUAUUGCCCCUUGUCCCGCCCCCAGCUGUUGCUUCAGUAAUGAAUAGAAUGUACGUGCUCCAUAUAUUGUAUGGGGAAUUUUUUCUACAGGCGCCCAGGUUGAUGCUGAAUUAUACACAGCAUCCAACAUCAAAGGUCUAAGCAAAUUGGUAAUGAAAAGAAUUAUUGGCAUGACAAUAGCUGAAUUUAUGACCUCGGAAACAACAGUACUGAUCAGAAAAUGAUCUUACUUGAAAUUACAAUGUUUGGAAUGGUUGAAUGUGAACUGGUAAAAUGGUGACUGGUAAAAAUUGUCAGUGACUGGUAGAUUUUCGAUUCUACCUGCCACAGUGACUGGUGGGAUUUUUUAAAGUUCCACCCCUGGUAUACAGCAGUGAUCGUCAAGGAUGUCUUGCCUCACAUCACAAGGCCACAAGCGAAAGGGAAGGAUGAGAGGCACCAGAUUGAGUUGGACCCUCAUGCUUAUCUGAGACAGACACGAUGAAGUCAACCAGGAGACAGCCAGCACACAUCUUCACCAGGAGGCUUCGUGCAGCCUUGAGAAUCGGCUCAUUUGGGUCUCCAUCCUGACAAACUGGAUUUGGAUUUAGGACCGGUUUUGCUGGUCAAUUCUUCACUGAAUAGUUGUGACUCCAUUUAGUUUUUUUAUUUUAUACUUUAGGCAGAGAUAGCUUUGCCUUUUUCCGUUCAAACCCAGUGCAUCAUGUGAAUUUUGGUGGCAAUAACGAACAUUUGAAUCGAGACGUUUUGGUUUGUAGUGAAAGGCUUAUCGCAUUAAGAGUUAUAGUGAGAGAGGUUACUAAAUCAAGAGUUUUUUUGUAGUGAGAAGUCACUAGAUCAAGAGUUUUUGUACAGAGAGAAGUUCUUAUUUGCAUCAUGAUCAAAUCAUCAUGGGGUGCCUAAGUCUCCUCCCCUUCCAGGACCAAAAAAUAUGACUGGGCUGUAAUGGACUCAUCAAACCUAUUUCCCGAUCCACCUCGCAUUCCUUCCUAGAUCACACACACGUUGUACCUCAGAAUUAAUGAUGACCAAUGGUGUGAUUGUCGUCUUCACUUAUCAAGCGAUUUGUGUGCGUGUAAAAAUAUGUAAUUAUUUGGACUACACAACAGAAGUUGUAUGUCUGACGUGCAGCCACUUCAGCCGCGGUGCAGCUGUGCACCUUCAGUCUCAGCUCACGUCAAAUACAGUGCAGUCUCUUGCCUAGUUUUGCAACAAAACUAAAAUAACCUUUCUUGCCUGCUGAAAAUGACUGGCCUUUCAGUACAAUGCCAAUCUAAACCUUUAAAAUUCACUGCUAACAUGUGAAAUCCACAGAGUACAUGCCAAACGGAGUCGGGAUAUAGGUUGACUCACUCCAUUCGCUCCCACUCAAAAUGUUGCGAGUUAAAAGCCCCAUGGACCGGAAGUACAAGUUAGAAGGGCAUGACUUAGUGACUUAGGUGCCCCAUUCCCCUCAGCUGAACCCCUUUAAGCUCUCUACCGUGGGCCUACAUUCAGGUAAUCCCCACUUUGGACUCCUAGUUCAACAGAAGACACUGUAAAAAAAUAAAAUAAUAAUAAUAAAAACAAUCUUUUUUAUAUUAAUAACCCAGAUUUUUUUAUUAGAAUAUUGAUACAAUUUGAUUGGUCAAUGAAGAUGAUGGCUUAUUGGCAGCUGGGGAUGUCUGACUGUAGGAUGUUUGCUUGUUUGUGUCAUGUGUAAAGUCCUUGUUUCGUUUGUUUGUUCGUUUUGUUUGUUGGUGUAUGUUCCUGUGCUGAUGUGAAAGAUGAUGAAAUUUGUUUUUUUUGGGGAGCGCUGAGGACAAUAAAAUGGCCUUCAGAGGACACAGA